CAUUCUCCACCUGAGUGGCUCGGUUGUGGGCGUGCUGGCAGGAUAUGGCAGCACUUUCGGUUGUGCAUCAAAAAUUCAGCAUAGCAAGUUUCUGGUUAUUCACAGGCAAAUAGUAAUAUGCUCUAAACCGCUCUGGCGACAAACAAACUUUGUUGCCCUGUUUUCAAUCGUCCACAUGGCUGGGUGAACCCAAAUACAGAGAACUGUGAAAGCCUGUCUACAGAUUAAGAAGUCCCAAUGAAGAGCAGCGGUUCUCAGUCCUGGUCCUGGGGACUCAAAGGGGUGCACAUUUUAGUUUUUACCUAAGCACUACACAGCUGAUUCAAAUGAUCAAGUCAUCAUCAAGCUUCAAGUGGGUAUAUCAGCUAUGUUGGUGAACCCCUCCCACAUCUGAACUAACUGACACAGAGAGCAGAGCAUGAUCUUGGUAUGUUUUGAUAUGAGAGAGGAAGCCAGUCCCGUCAUCGCCACCUCACCUGCUCUUAAGAUAACCUUCCGGCCAACUGGGGGCCCAAGGCUGGCUAGGACACUAUGUAAUUGUGAUGAACUGAGAGAAUAUUAGGGUAGCACUGUAAUUCAUUAUGCUGUCUUCCCUGCUCCUCUGCUCUUACCUCUUUCCCUUCCUGUCUUCUACACCUCUCUCCCCACCUCUUUUUUUCAUUUUUUUAUAAUGCACACCAUAUGUGCAUUGAAGUACAUAUUGAACUUGUAUUUAUAAUAUAAUAUUACAAUUAUAAUAUUUAUAAUGCAUGUAUUAUGUAUUAUUAACACCUGGAUCAUGAACUUUCAAUAAAGUGUUUCACAUUCUCCACUGGUUGAAAUUAAGUAUCUCAUUGAAAUACUACACCUAUCCUGUGUCCUCAGAUUAAUGCAGAUGAAGGGAGUUAGAUAUGCAUA